CAGCCGCCGCGGUAAUACGUAGGUGGCAAGCGUUAUCCGGAAUUAUUGGGCGUAAAGCGCGCGUAGGCGGUUUUUUAAGUCUGAUGUGAAAGCCCACGGCUCAACCGUGGAGGGUCAUUGGAAACUGGAAAACUUGAGUGCAGAAGAGGAAAGUGGAAUUCCAUGUGUAGCGGUGAAAUGCGCAGAGAUAUGGAGGAACACCAGUGGCGAAGGCGGCUUUCUGGUCUGUAACUGACGCUGAUGUGCGAAAGCGUGGGGAUCAAACAGGAUUAGAUACCCGCGUAGUCCCUGUCUCUUAUAU
rnacentral:rRNA from 1 species